GUAGCAUUCCUCACUGACACCAGCAUUGCAAGGCAAUAGGCAAACCUUAUUAGAUCUAGCCACCACCUUAAUACAACACUAGACGUCAUUCAUUCGGAGCGAAUUACGCUAAUUUCGGGCAAAAAAGGGGGUCGUUCCCCCCGUACCCUCUAGGGUAUUCCGCAUCUGAGAGCUCGAGCAAUAACACACGUGCCGCAACAACACCCAAAGUGAGUGGUGCGGAAAGCAAUUAUUGCUAUGUGGUUCUCCUAAAGCAGGCAUAUUUAAAAGGCCAGCACUAGUCGAACGUUGGACGAUUUGACAACCGAAUUCCAUUUGCAGUAGGUACGCAACACAGGAAACCCACAAAUACGGCCAAGGCUAAUGUUGCUCUUGAACCAACAGGUGAAGAGGAAAUCAUAGGAGGACGUCACUGCCCAAGCAGGGAUCCAA
rnacentral:misc_RNA from 1 species